CAGCAGACAGGCUGCAGCAUGGAAUUCUGCUCUCCCAAGAAUUCUGAUGUUGGAAAGUUAUACACAGUACUGCAUUUGAAGUAUCCAAUUGUUGCAGAAUACUACCAAGGAAGCAGAAGAAAAAAAUGUCAUUUCUGCCAUCAGUGAAUGAUCAGUGAGAAACAUGAUCAUUCUGAUGUCACAGAAUCUCCUGAAAGAAGCAUCUGCUUUGAAUGAAGAUACUCAAAUUACUAACAAGAACUUUACCAGUAAAAUCUUGUUUUUAAAGUGGCCAAACAUAAUCAGAUGUGAUUUUUUUUUCAUAUGCAGGAAAAUUAGUCAUCUUGUAGGGCACAAAUAGAGUGCCAAAUUUUGAGGGGGAAAAAUCCAAUAAAACCAGUUGGGGCAGGGGUGGGGGAAUUGAUUGCAUGGUUCACUGAGGGGCCCAGUUGCUGGCAGCUCAGAUAGACCCAGCACUACCUAACGUGGCCCUUAAAAACCCCAUGGAAAUUAUUUUUUCUUAAAUUUUAUUAGGUUGUAUGCAGUUUCAUAAAAGUAACAGAGCACAAAAGAAGACAAAAAGAUUUCUAAACAAAUUUCAGAAAUGAAGGUAUAUUGAACUAAAACAGAGUAUCAAUGCAGAUGCUAAAAUAUUAAGAGAAGAACCCCACAAAAUGUCACAAUUUGCAAACUGGUUCCUCAGAGUAAUUUAGUUUUAAAACAAAAAGGUAGGGGGGAAAAGACAGAAAAAAAAUCACUCUCAAAAAAAUAAAGUUGACAUUCAGACUAUUAGUCCAUCUUCCCCAAUAGUUUCUACUUUAAUUUUCAGUUGCAGCAGGACUUCAGCUUUGAUAUUUGACAUCCUUCAACAGAAAACAGGUUUUGAAAAUGGAACUAA